AUACGCUACCAAACUCUCCCGAUAAUCCCUACCCGAUCCUAAGCUAGUGCCCUGGAAACGAAGGCCGUCACCACCACCGGCAAGGGCAGUGCCGGUGCCGUCCUGAAGGCCGACGUCCCGACGCUAUCCUGUACGACUACAUUGACUGAGACUUCACCGCCAUCGACUCCAGGCCGACGACGGAGACCAAGCACUGAUGGCUUCAUCCUCAAAUGGUUCGUCCAAAUGAUUAAUUCCGCAUUAGUGUUAGGUGUUCAUCUAUUAGGCUAACGUCAGUCAAUUAGUUCAGUACUAUUAGUUCUAAACUUCUAAUAUCCGCAUCCCAUCCCAUCCCAUCACAGAUCAAGAACCAUACGCGCAUACGCAUCACAAGCUAGCAUCAUUCAUUUCGCGGAUGAGUUCCGAGUAAAAG
rnacentral:lncRNA from 1 species